GUGUCUCGCCCCGAUGCGGAGAGAGAGAGAGAGAGCGCUCCUCUUCCCCAUCCAGAUCGCCAACGCCACCUCUUCCUCCCCACCAGCUCCACCGGCGAGCCCCUAUGCUGCCUACGCGCGCACAACCUCCGUACCCUGCUGCUCUCCCUGCUGGCCCUCUUCCCUCGCCCGGAUCGCUGCUCUGCCUCGACCGGCCAGCGCACCGCCAUAACCGGCCAGCGCGCCGCCAUAAUCGGCCAGCCCAAGCUCGCAUCGCCCGCUCCGUCCGCGCCUGCGACGACCUCCUCGACGCCCUACUCUUCUGCGGGCCGAGGUCCUUGCUGGCGCCCUCCGUCUCGUGCUCGAGCCGCCCUCCGCGCACCCCCUUCCCCUCGGCUAGAUCCGACCGCCUGCCAUCUCGACCUUGCGGCCUCUCGAUGAUCUGCUGCAUGAACAUGGUGGCAUGCUCUUCCAGGACGGCACCCAUGAAGGCGAAGAUGGAUCCUCACCGGAGAUGAGGACUACUCGGGUGGUAGUGGCCAAGGACAAGGCCAGGGACUACAACGAUUUAGCUUCCCACGCCGCCCAGCUCUUCCGCCCGAGGGAUGUCCGCCGUGCUGAUCUAACCGCCAUGUCCCCUUUGUCGCGGGCGCCUCCCAUCUCGUGUCGCCCCCGCCGCUCCUCCCCACCACACGCGAGGAGGGCGGCGCCGCUGCCCCUGCCCCGUCGGUUGUUCCCCCAUCUUCUUUACGAUGGACACGAUCCAACAUUUAACCCUAUUUUCUUCAGAUCUCUACCAAAGGACUGGGCUUAUGCUUGUAGUGUGUACGAUGAUGAGCACCUGGUGGAAGUUACAACCUUGCAUUUUGUAGUUUAUUUCAAAUUCAUAGAUAUAUUCUUCAAUGCUUCCUAGGCCUAUACUGUUAUACUUGGCUUGAAUAUCUCUAGUUUGUAUUUUUGCUGCUGGGUGCUAAUUUUUGCUGUUGAACCA